rnacentral:rRNA from 1 species
UACAGAGGGGGCAAGCGUUGUUCGGAAUUACUGGGCGUAAAGGGCGCGUAGGCGGCCUGUUAAGUCGAACGUGAAAUCCCCGGGCUCAACCCGGGAACUGCGUCCGAUACUGGCAGGCUUGAAUUCGGGAGAGGGAUGCGGAAUUCCUGGUGUAGCGGUGAAAUGCGCAGAUAUCAGGAGGAACACCGGUGGCGAAGGCGGAUCUCUGGGCCUUACCUGACGCUGAGGCGCGAAAGCUAGGGGAGCAAACAGG